UAUUUCUGUGUUUUUUAAGGAAACCAAAAU
rnacentral:piRNA from 1 species